rnacentral:rRNA from 1 species
CCUAUACAUGCAGUCGAACGAUGAACCACCUUCGGGUGGGGAUUAGUGGCGAACGGGUGAGUAACACGUGGGCAAUCUGCCCUGCACUCUGGGACAAGCCCUGGAAACGGGGUCUAAUACCGGAUACUGACCCUCGCAGGCAUCUGCGAGGUUCGAAAGCUCCGGCGGUGCAGGAUGAGCCCGCGGCCUAUCAGCUAGUUGGUGAGGUAAUGGCUCACCAAGGCGACGACGGGUAGCCGGCCUGAGAGGGCGACCGGCCACACUGGGACUGAGACACGGCCCAGACUCCUACGGGAGGCAGCAGUGGGGAAUAUUGCACAAUGGGCGAAAGCCUGAUGCAGCGACGCCGCGUGAGGGAUGACGGCCUUCGGGUUGUAAACCUCUUUCAGCAGGGAAGAAGCGAAAGUGACGGUACCUGCAGAAGAAGCGCCGGCUAACUACGUGCCAGCAGCCGCGGUAAUACGUAGGGCGCAAGCGUUGUCCGGAAUUAUUGGGCGUAAAGAGCUCGUAGGCGGCUUGUCACGUCGGUUGUGAAAGCCCGGGGCUUAACCCCGGGUCUGCAGUCGAUACGGGCAGGCUAGAGUUCGGUAGGGGAGAUCGGAAUUCCUGGUGUAGCGGUGAAAUGCGCAGAUAUCAGGAGGAACACCGGUGGCGAAGGCGGAUCUCUGGGCCGAUACUGACGCUGAGGAGCGAAAGCGUGGGGAGCGAACAGGAUUAGAUACCCUGGUAGUCCACGCCGUAAACGGUGGGCACUAGGUGUGGGCAACAUUCCACGUUGUCCGUGCCGCAGCUAACGCAUUAAGUGCCCCGCCU